CUAGGCUGGAAUGAUGAGUGCACUGACUGGCCAUCUGGUGCUCAUGGCAGGUUGGUCAGUUGUCUGUUAUCUCUCAAAAUGG
ensembl:miRNA gga-mir-1709 gga-mir-1709